rnacentral:rRNA from 1 species
UACGGAGGGAGCUAGCGUUAUUCGGAAUUACUGGGCGUAAAGCGCACGUAGGCGGCUUUGUAAGUUAGAGGUGAAAUCCUGGAGCUCAACUCCAGAACUGCCUUUGAUACUGGCGACCUUGAGUUCGGGAGAGGUGAGUGGAACUGCGAGUGUAGAGGUGAAAUUCGUAGAUAUUCGCAAGAACACCAGUGGCGAAGGCGGCUCACUGGCCCGAUACUGACGCUGAGGUGCGAAAGCGUGGGGAGCAAACAGG